rnacentral:rRNA from 1 species
GAUGAACGCUGGCGGCGUGCCUAAUACAUGCAAGUCGAGCGAACGGACGAGAAGCUUGCUUCUCUGAUGUUAGCGGCGGACGGGUGAGUAACACGUGGAUAACCUACCUAUAAGACUGGGAUAACUUCGGGACACCGGAGCUAAUACCGGAUAAUAUUUUGAACCGCAUGGGUCAAAAGUGAAAGACGGUCUUGCUGUCACUUAUAGCUGGAUCCGCGCUGCAUUAGCUAGUUGGUAAGGUAACGGCUUACCAAGGCAACGAUGCAUAGCCGACCUGAGAGGGUGAUCGGCCACACUGGAACUGAGACACGGUCCAGACUCCUACGAGAGGCAGCAGUAGGGAAUCUUCCGCAAUGGGCGAAAGCCUUACGGAGCAACGCCGCGUGAGUGAUGAAGGUCUUCGGAUCGUAAAACUCUGUUAUUAGGGAAGAACAUAUGUGUAAGUAACUGUGCACAUCUUGACGGUACCUAAUCAGAAAGCCACGGCUAACUACGUG